rnacentral:lncRNA from 1 species
AUGCUUUGCUGCAGGUGUGUGCUGCCUCUCCUGGCUCUGUACGUGUCGUUGGAGGAGAUAUCCGCUGCUGUGUUGCCAAGUUCUUCCAGAAACAAAAGGGAAGUGAGCUGGCUGGAGCAGGAGCUCUUCCCCCACCUGCAUGACCCCUCGGACCAGAGGGACCUGUCCGUGGGCGACGCUGGGGACAUGGGAAGGGAUGUGGAGGGCCGCCCCGCUCACUCAGAGAGCUUUUUGGCCCCGACGGAGCACCUUAGUGUCCAACACCAGAACCAGAACCAGAACCAGUUCCAGUACCAACGUAAAGCCAAUGAAAAGAGGAUGAACCAGAUGUCCAGUGGGAAGAAAUCAGAGAGUGAAGAGCAGCGCCAACAACUGAGCCCUUUCUAUUGCAUUCUGUUUAAUAUGUCUUCCAUGAUAUUUAUUCAUUAUUAUUUAACUCGCUGCCAUACUAACAAGUGA